CCCUGGUCAGCUCAGUUGGUAGAGUGCUCCACUGGAAAUGGAGAUAUCCUGGGUUCGAUAGCGGACCAGGCG
rnacentral:tRNA from 2 species